UCUUUUUGGAUUUCAUUUUUAUGUGAUUCUAUUCUAUAAAAAAAUAAUAAACAUUUUCUUUUUGAAAAUUUCCAUCUAAUACAUAUCCAGGAUUGUGGCGCGACGUCUGCUUCUUUUCGAUACACACACACACACACACACACACAUUUCGUCUAUAAAUUUUUUUUUUCCAUUACUAAAAUUCACUUCUUCUACAAACACAUCAAAGCUAUCAUUAUCAUUGUGAUCAAAACAUUUUCGUCGUUAUUUAGUGGUGGCUGUUGGUGAUUGUGUUGUGUUUGUGUGUGUGUGUGUGUGGAUGUGCUCGCUUUUUGUAUGCGAUUUACCAUCUUAUCCAUCCACAAGAAAAUCUUAUUCUUUAUCAACAACAACAACAACGACAACAACUGCUAAGACGAAGAAGAAGAUCUUUUGGUUAUCCGUCUUGCGCAUUUGAGUGUUUUGAUUUUAUCCAUCCAAUCUUCAGGUUUAUUUUCUUCAAUAAUGUUGGUUCCCAUGCAAUAGAUGGUUUUGUUUUUUAAAGGAAUGUCCAUCAUCAUCUUGAUUGUCUUGUUUGUUGGUUGGUUGAGUUGUUGUCUUUGUUGUUCCUAAUACAUCUUUUGUAUGAUGUAACUGUAAAUUGUAUCAUCAUCAUCAUCAAUCGUAUACAAAAAGCUACAUGUUGUAAUACAUGGCAACAAACGUUUUAGUUUGAUUUUGGUUGAUGAUAAAUUACAAAACAGAACAGACAUUGUCGUCGAUAUAAUUGUCCGUAGUCAUAGUAGUGGUUGUUAUCUCAUCAAUACGUCGUCCAAAAAAAAAAAACAUCAACACCAUCGAUAAAAAUUAAUUUGGCCAAUAACCCACUGUUGUUUUGGAUAUAUACAGGCAAUAAUAAUGAUGAUGUUGAUGAUAUGAUUCUAGCCAUCCUGAUGAUAAACGUCGUGUUCUAGUUUUUUUUUUUUUUUAAUCUGUAUGAAUCAUCAUCAUCGCAUUGGAUAUCUUGGUUGGCCAACAGAAACGAAAAAAAAACCAGUCGACCAGUGUGCUCUGCUCCUCUCUACACCAAAUAAAACUGCCCAUUCUGCCAUUGCCUUUUUGUAAAUUUCAUCAAUUUCUUUGUGAAAUAAUUCUUGUGGUGUUUUUUUUUUACUCAUCGCCAAUCAAUCAAUCGUGAUUAUCAUUGAUACUUAUGGCUUUCAUCAUUUUGAGAAUACUGCAAUAAAGAUAAAGAUUUCAAUCAUUUUGUCAUGAUUCAUCAUCAUUGUUUAUAAUGAUUAUCAACCAACAAUGUAGAAGAGAAAGAAGGUGACAUAUAAAUAAUCACAUCGAACAAGAUUAUUAUCAUCACAUAGACACACACAACACCGCACACACACACACACACACACACACACAAACAUUCAGGUAUAGGUGACGAUUGAGAUAUAUCAUCAUCAUCACAAUGAUGGAUUCAUCACCAGCAACAAAUAGAAGAAUACUGAAACGAAACUAUCUAAAGUCAAAACAUAUGUUGGCCAAAUUAAAUAAAUGGAAUUUUGAAUUCGAUUCAUCAUCAUUGAUCAUCAUCGACAACAAUACACCAAUACAACUAC